rnacentral:rRNA from 1 species
UACGUAGGUGGCGAGCGUUAUCCGGAAUUAUUGGGCGUAAAGAGCGCGCAGGUGGUUGAUUAAGUCUGAUGUGAAAGCCCACGGCUUAACCGUGGAGGGUCAUUGGAAACUGGUCGACUUGAGUGCAGAAGAGGGAAGUGGAAUUCCAUGUGUAGCGGUGAAAUGCGUAGAGAUAUGGAGGAACACCAGUGGUGAAGGCGGCUUCCUGGUCUGUAACUGACACUGAGGCGCGAAAGCGUGGGGAGCAAACAGGAUUAGAUA